GACAGAGGGUGCAAACGUUGUUCGGAAUUACUGGGCGUAAAGAGCUCGUAGGCGGUUCGGUAAGUCGGAUGUGAAAUCUCCACGCUCAACGUGGAGGGGCCAUUCGAUACUGCCGUGACUCGAGUCCGGUAGGGGAGUGUGGAAUUCCCGGUGUAGCGGUGAAAUGCGCAGAGAUCGGGAGGAACACCCGUAGCGAAGGCGGCACUCUGGGCCGGUACUGACGCUGAGGAGCGAAAGCGUGGGGAGCGAACAGG
rnacentral:rRNA from 1 species